GGAGACGCGCUUGGUUCCUGCGCGGUUCCAUAGAGACAGCGGUGCGGACUGAUACAUUUUGGGUGAUGCGGCUUAUUAAAUAUAUGAUAAAUAGCCCGGUUUUCUGCGCGCCAAAUAUAAUGUGUGGUGGGAGAGCAGGAGAAAAGACCGACAUGAGGGACUGUCACUGUCACUGUCACUGUGGGACACUUGACAGCUCUGUGUCUCUCAGGGUAAGAGUUACAGAUAAUAGGAAUUGUGAAUAAUGUGAGUCUAUAUACACAUAGAUGUUAGUUCAACAAUAUUUCACAAUUUUAUAGCAAUAUCAUUAACAAAGCUGCACGAACAAACAUUUUUUUUAAUUGAAUUGUGCGCGCAUGCGCCACAUGGACCUACGGGGUUUCCUUUCUCAUUAUCAGCGUCGCCACGUGUUCAGGCUGCCAAACAGGAGCGGGACAAACACGUGACAGAGACCAGGUGAGAACAUGGCUGGAGUUGGGUUCUACAGUCGGAGGGCACCGAUGAAGGGAACGGCACAGAGUGGAUCAGAUUCAUGGACAUGGUUCCUGUCAUCGGGAAAGAAAAGUCCAUUGACUAUCGUGAUGUAUUCAGCAGUUGACCCAAAUAGAGUAUAAACCAGCAGCAGCCGCAACCACAAUUUCUAAUGUGAGAGAGGUCCCAACGGGGGAGACUGCUGAGCAAGCAAGAGAAGAAAGGUUCCAAAAAAACAAGUUAUCUUCAACUGAAAAAGAACAUUGGAGAUUUUCAGUAGUUAUAUUAAGUUGUAUUGUCUUUAUUGUUUUUAUACAUUUUAUUUUUGUAUAUAGUUAUUGACUAUUGGUUUUGUAUGCUGUCACAUCUAUGUGGACGAAUUUGCAAAAGAGAAAUGGAUCAGUAAUUAACACUUUCCCCAGAAAGACACACUCUCAUAGAAUGUAUGAAUAUGUAUGUAUAUAAUGAAUUUGUAUAUACUGUAUGUUGUCUUUGUUCUUUUUAUACUGUAUGUUGUCUUUAUUCUUUUUAUACUGUAUAUUGUCUUUGUUCUUUUUGAGAAAGUUGUUGUCGUUGAAAGUGGAACUGAGCGAUCAAAAAGAGCGUGUUCAUCCUCAAAUUUUAUUCUAAAUGAAUUUGUAUAUACUGUUAUUGCCUUUUAUUCUUUUUAUAUUGUUUUUGUAUAUAGUUGUCUUUAUUUUUGUUUUCCUUUUGUAUAGACUGUUUAUUCCUUUUAUAUUUUACUUUUGUAUAUACUGUUUAUUCCUUUUUAUAUUUUUGUUUAUUCUUUUUGUUUUGUUAUACGGUGGUUUGCUUUGUUUCUGAUGAAUUCUACACGAUUGCAAAUGCCAUAUGGCAAAUUUAGCAAAGCACUGUGUGAUGCUUUUUUUUUAAAUGUGCUGGACUUCCAAUAUCUCAGUGAGGAGACCCCUAAGAAAAUGGGUGACUACAUAUUCAUACGUUCUAUAUUAUAUGAAUUUGUGUAUAUAAUGCGAUAUAAUGUUUUAUUCUGUUUAUAUGUUUUUGUACAUACUGUAGUUUUGUCUUUUGUUUUUGUACAUACUGUAUUGUCUUUAUUCUUGAUAUAUAUAUUAAAUAAAAUUUUAUUUUUUGCUGCUGUAACAUUUCCCCAUUGUGGGACGAAUAAAGAUGUAUCUUAUCUUACAGGAAA